rnacentral:snoRNA from 1 species
CACUCCCUAUUUCCCUUAUUCAUCAUACCUACACACUGCUCAGAAUGGUUAUAAAAGGAAGAAAAGUAAAAUAGAAACAGACGCCAAUGCUCUUGUGGUCCAUGAGCUCUUUUCUCACAACUGG